UCGCUAGCCCUCCACCAAUCGCCACGCCCCCAAUCGCUCCCCAAUCCCCACUCCUCUGCCCGUCUCCUCCCCUUCCUCUCCCCUCGCGCCCGCAUCCCCGCCGCCGCACGCCUCUCUCCCUCUCCUCCUCUCCAUCGCCGGAGACGCGGAUGCCCUUGCGCGCGCCAACUGCGUCGCCGUCCCCUCCAUCAUCCCCUAGAGCGGGCGCACCAGGAUGGGCAAGAAGCCCUCGGCACGACUCCAUCGCCCUCGGCGCCGGAGACGCGGAUGCGGAAGAGCGGCGGCUGGCCGGCCCUGGGGCAGCACGCGAUUACUACAGGCUGCCCCAGCCGUGGGCAGCGGUAGGCCGCACAAGCAGCAGGCGACCUCCUCCACUUCAAGCUCGCAUCUGGAUUUGCAGCCGAUGAUGCGAAGGGGAGCGACCUAGGCAUGCCCGACCCGGACCAUGACGAUGCACAACAAAAGCUAGCUGCAGAUGCGGAAGAGCGGCGGCUGGCCGGCCCUGGGGCAGCACGCGAUUACUACAGGCUGCCCCAGCCGUGGGCAGCGGUAGGCCGCACAAGCAGCAGGCGACCUCCUCCACUUCAAGCUCGCAUCUGGAUUUGCAGCCGAUGAUGCGAAGGGGAGCGACCUAGGCAUGCCCGACCCGGACCAUGACGAUGCACAACAAAAGUCUCAGGCCCGCCUUGGAGAUGGUGCCAGGAUUGCCUGCCGUUCACGCUCUCCCUCUUAGCCACUACCGAUCGUCUAGCAAGGUCUCGACGAAUUACAUGAUAUAAGCUGCAAGAUGUGAUUUUGGAUGUUGUUCCCUGACCACUUCUUGGACCGUGCUCUACAUGUCGAGCACCCAACAAGAGGGAGAGGAGGAGCGCAUCCAUGCUCGAACUCGGAGAUUGGAAAGCAGGAAGACGGUAAAUAUGAGCUUGUGUGCACUGGAUUUGCAGCUCUACAUGCUCUCAUGUAGACUCCGUGUGUUUAUACAAUAUGGGACACUCGUGGCGGAAUGUGGCAAGCUUGUGCAAACCUCAUGCUGGUAGAAAGGAAGCUAUACUUUGACAUGACUAACUGUAAUAUUGCUUCUGGUCUUCCAGACAAUUUAAAUUCUGGAACUACAAAGAUGAUGUUCAAGAAAUACAGGAGUACAAAGCAAGAAGAUGUGCUCAGCUUCUCUCUGGCUUAUUAUGCUUACAUGUCUUUCUGAUUGUCCUGAGCUCCUGUCAUCGAAGGUAAGCUGAUUGAUUGUUGAUCACAUGGUUCGUUGAAAUGCUUAUGUGUCUCUAGGUGAAGCUGCAACAAUAUUUGUCGUGGUUUCUUUUUCAAGUGCCGAGUUCAGCAAGUGGUGCGCAUUUAUGCCGGAUCCACUGCUACUGCUACUUCAGUACUGUAGAAACUGCUUCUGGGUUUUUGAUGAUGUGACAUAGUACAUGUGUUAAGCUUAUUAAUUUUAUGGUCUGUUUUGUUUGCAUAAUUCCAGCUUUGCUACUGUCGCCUCAAACUUACUUUUAUCGUAGUGUCACCUGAAACUUACUUUUGUCAUACUACAUGUCCUAGCUAUUUGCUUGCGCAGCUUGUGACCUUUAUUCUUUUGUGCUUACGAUAUCUGUUGAUUAUGAUGGCCAUUUGGCCUGCUUUGUUACCCGUUGGCAUCUAGGCACAAUUCACACACAAUCAGCUGGUCAGGCUAAAUAUGUGUUCUGCUGACCAGCUGCAAUGCAAAUAAUAUUUUACUGAGCUGAAGUGAAAUGGCCCUAAUGUCAUGUUAGGUAAUAUAAAUUGGAAUUGAAGAUCAAUUCCAGUAAAGGGUGCUUGAAUGACAAAGGGCUUGAAUGACAAAGGAGUUGCACAUCAGAAUUAGCAGUAGUAAAGUCAAUCAUCACUAUGUUGUAUAAUGUAAAACGUUUUCUAAUAUUAUGAAACUGAGGGAGUACAUAUUAGCCUUCCGGUGCUUCUUCCAUCGUGCCCUCUAUAUGGUGACGAACCUAUUAAGAACAUGUGGUAUAUCAUUGUGGAUAUAAUUCAUCUGUAAAUACGAAUGCCUAAAUUAGUGUGCCUGUUUUAUGGACUAUUGAUGUUAUUUCGCUCCAACAUUUCUGUUAAGUUAGAUAUCCACCUAUCUUUCUUAUGUAUGUUUGAUUUUUUUUAACAUAUUCGCUAGAUUAUGAAACGUUUUGCACAAAGAUUUACAUGCCUCCAAAGUCAAAGCUGGUGGCCAUCGUCAGAUUCUAUCCAUUAAUUUAGUGUCUUCGAUUUGCUUAUGGCAGCCUUUACUUUCUAGCCAUCACCUGGUGGUUGGAGGCUACAAAUAAUGAUGCCGCACCGUGGUGCGGAUGGUUCGAGUUCUCUCCUGGCAGCCUUUCCAUGUAUUAUCUAUGUCUGCUUAUUCAACUGCCUACCAUCAAGUUGUAGUAAUUGUAUGUUUAAGUUUUACAAGUCUGCGAAAGGCGGGUCGCGUGGCAAGCAGCGUCCCUACUGAUAGUAUAUUUCAGAUAGUGUUUCUGAAUUAUUUAUCAGUACGAAAGUUAGGAACCUACUUAUUUGAUUGCUUAGGGGAAUGUAAACUGCUUGCCAUCAGGUCGGGAACACCAAACUCCAACCUUAUGGAAGAGACAAAUCAUAUGAUUUGUCGAUCCCCUGUAGAAGAGGACCCUGAAUGCGGAGAAGUUUUCAUUUUUCCCUUUUGUUUGGGUCAACCAUAUGGUUGGAGUGAGAUUCCUUUCUAUUUAUGCCUACAUGAUCUUUGAUGAAAAUACGAGUGGGCAACAGAGAAAUAUUGAGGUUGUUUCUCAUGCUGUUCAGUAUGCAAUAGUUUAUUCAGAACUACCAAUGUGCCUCCAGGUCUCCCAAUUGAAAAAAGGCAUGAUUGCAGAUACGAGUACGGUGUAUAGAUAUACAAAUGACUGAAUUACCAUGCCAUCUAUUUUUGGGAGCUCAUUUGUGUCUCAAUGAAGCAAACGGAUGAAGUUUCUGGUUCACAUACAUCCUGCUCUCUUGAUCAGCAGAAAAAAAUGAUGAUUGCAAAUUUUGAAGGCUUAUAUAUUGGUUGUUCAUGUGUACUGCCACCUCUCAUAUGUUGCAGUGGUGUUUCAGCAGAAUGGGAAGGUACCACUCGAGCACGUUCACUCGCAGAUUGUUGCAGUGGGGUUUCAGUACAAAAUCCAAUACAAGCGAGAUAGCUAACUGCACCAAUCAGUUAUGCGAAUUGCCUGCAAUAAAGCCGAGUUGUUGUCACUUCAAGCUGCAAAGUGAAAUAUCACUCUCACUCAGUUACUUAGACAAAUUGAUUACUGACACUGUUUAGACUGAAUAAUGGUCCCUGAGAGCAAGCUGAUAUCAUCCUAUAAUGAUAGCAGCAGGAGGGGAUGAUGUUGGUGGCUGAGGGUGCCAAUGUGCCAUAAACAUUGGGAGGAAUGAGACGUUCUGCUCUUUUUCUUUCGGAGGAAUGAGGUGUUCUGCUCAUUUUAUUUGUACAAUGGUUUCAAGGUUCUUACUUCAGCGAAGCAGUCCCCUAACAUAUGGAUAGGUUGACAACAUUAUCGCAACAAGCAAGAUGCAGGUAUGUCUAGGCUCCUUAUUGCUGGGUAUCAUCCCAAUUAUUGAUGCCGUGUGUUCUGCUCUUGGUUGUGCAGGCCAAGCAGUUAAUGCAUUUCUUCUAUAUAUAGGGCACUAAGCAGUCAUAUCUAAAUUCAGCUCAACGAGAAAUAGUGAUUUUUUUUAUAGUAGCUGCCAUUUCUUUGCUGAAGAAAUUGUUGCCGACAGCAAUGAUAUAGAUUUGAUUUUUCAGCGAUGCAGUUGAUGUAUCGUCUCCAGUAGUCCUGUUUCCACAAUGAUAACGGUAUUUCUGUUUGGUGGUGCAAGUACUUGUUAUGGCCAUGUCUCCUUUAUGCUGGUGCGGACCAUGUCGCGGCAAUGUCCAUGAGCUGCUUAUGUAGAUGUUGCUUUUGAUGUCACUACCUUUUAUUGCUCUUCAUAGAACAUCCUUCUAUUUUCUUUUUAUAUCAGCUUUGCUGCUACGUUUGUAGUAUCGGAGUUUCGACUGUAAAGCCUAAGAAAUGUAUUAUCCUAUUGGUAGUUAAUUUUAUUGUUCUCAUAUAUAA